rnacentral:rRNA from 1 species
AACGAACGCUGGCGGCAUGCCUAACACAUGCAAGUCGAACGAGACCUUCGGGUCUAGUGGCGCACGGGUGCGUAACGCGUGGGAACCUGCCCUUAGGUUCGGAAUAACUCCCCGAAAGGGGUGCUAAUACCGGAUAAUGUCUUCGGACCAAAGAUUUAUCGCCUUUGGAUGGGCCCGCGUUGGAUUAGCUAGUUGGUAGGGUAAAAGCCUACCAAGGCUACGAUCCAUAGCUGGUCUGAGAGGAUGAUCAGCCACACUGGGACUGAGACACGGCCCAGACUCCUACGGGAGGCAGCAGUGGGGAAUAUUGGACAAUGGGCGGAAGGCUGAUCCAGCAAUGCCGCGUGAGUGAUGAAGGCCUUAGGGUUGUAAAGCUCUUUUACCCGGGAUGAUAAUGACAGUACCGGGAGAAUAAGCUCCGGCUAACUCCGUG